AAUGGUAAAACAUAAAAAUCUCAUAAAAAAUAAUUAAAAAAGACAUAAAUUUCAGAUCAGAGGAGUUGAUCUUACUUUAAAUAGUAAAAAAAAAUUUAUUAAAAUUUUACUGAAUUUGAAUUGUUCUAAAAAAGAAUAGCGUUAAACUUACAAAUACAUCACAUCAACCAUUAAAAUUGCCAAUUUCGAGACCUUUUAAUCGAUCACUAGUCAAAUGAUGUGAAACAAAUUUAUAAAAUUUAGUUUCUAAAUUCUUUCAAUAGCGUAAAUCAUAUCUAACAGAAUCGAUCGUCAAUUCGAACAGCCUAUCACUGAAAACAACUUAAUAGUAUGGAUAGUAUACAAGCUGGACUAGUUGUCAGAUAAUAAUUCGCUUCUUUUUUCUUUUUUUUUUGAUAAAUUAGUAUUAGGGGCAAUUAUUAAGUUUAAUCGAAAUGUGUAAUUGAGAGGUAAAAUUGUUGAUAUAUAAUAAUAUG
rnacentral:lncRNA from 1 species